rnacentral:rRNA from 1 species
UGGGGAAUCUUCCACAAUGGACGAAAGUCUGAUGGAGCAACGCCGCGUGAGUGAAGAAGGUCUUCGGAUCGUAAAGCUCUGUCUGGAGGGACGAACGGGUGGUGGGUCAAUAGCUCACCGCAGUGACGGUACCUCCGGAGGAAGCCCCGGCUAACUACGUGCCAGCAGCCGCGGUAAUACGUAGGGGGCGAGCGUUGUCCGGAAUUACUGGGCGUAAAGAGCGCGUAGGCGGCCUGUUAAGUCAGGUGUGAAAACUUAAGGCUCAACCUUAAGAUGGCACUUGAAACUGGUAGGCUUGAGGUCAGGAGAGGAAAGCGGAAUUCCUAGUGUAGCAGUGAAAUGCGUAGAUAUUAGGAGGAACACCAGUGGCGAAGGCGGCUUUCUGGACUGAUACUGACG